rnacentral:rRNA from 1 species
CAUUAAGUCAAGUAAGAGCAUAUGGUGGAUGCCUUGGGAUUUCAGGCCGAUGAAGGACGUAGUAGGCUGCGAUAAGCUUCGGGGAAGUGUCAAACAACUUUUGAUCCGGAGAUUUCCGAAUGGGGCAACCCGGCUCGAGUUAUGUCGAGUCACUCCGUGCUGAAUACAUAGGCGCGAGAGAGGGUACGCGGUGAACUGAAACAUCUAAGUAACCGCAGGAAAAGAUAUCAACCGAUAUUCCGUAAGUAGUGGCGAGCGAAAGCGGAAAAGCCAAAACUUUUUAUAUGUUAAAGCUUAUGGGCGUUGUAUAAAGAGUGUUGUGAGGUUAACACACUUCAUUUUUGGAGGCUAGGGUUGGGAUACGGGCAAAUUCAAAAUUUAUUUUGAAGAUGUCUAAUUCCAAAACUAGUACCGGAGACCAUAAUCUUCGGGUAAGGUAAAAAAAUUAGAAUUUUAAUGGAAUGUUUCUGGAAAGAACGACCAUAGAGGGUGAUAGUCCCGUACAUGAAAAGAUUCUUGUCCUUAUGUGUUUUCUCUCUAGUACUACGGAGCCCGUGAAACUCUGUAGGAAUCUGGGUGGACCACCAUCCAAGGCUAAAUACCUGAAAUCACCGAUAGUGAACUAGUACCGUGAGGGAAAGGUGAAAAGAACCCCUGUUAGGGGAGUGAAAUAGAAUCUGAAACCGUAUGCUUACAGACGGUCGGAGCCUCGAUUUAUCGGGGUGACGGCGUGCCUUUUGUAGAAUGAGCCAACGAGUUACCUUAUACUUUUUGUCUAAGCCAUUCCGUGGUGGAGGCGUAGGGAAACCGAGUGUUAAUAGCGCGAAAUUUAGAAAGUAUGGGGUAGACCCGAAACCGGGUGACCUAUCCAUGGGCAGGCUGAAGCGGCGUUAAACCGUCGUGGAGGGCCGAACCCACUGGAGUUACAAAUCCAGGGGAUGACCUGUGGAUAGCGGAGAAAUUCCAAUCGAACCCGGAAAUAGCUGGUUCUCUCCGAAAUAGCUUUAGGGCUAGCGUCAUAAAUUCGCUUUUGGAGGUAGAGCACUGAAUGGGCUAGGGGGCGUAUAGCUUACCAAACCCAAAUAAACUCCGAAUUCCGAAAGUUUUAUUAUGGCAGUCAGAACACGGGGGCUAAGCUCCGUGCUCAAAAGGGAAACAGCCCAGAUCGCCAUCUAAGGUCCCAAAGUCUAUGCUAAGUGGGGAAGGAUGUGAGACCGCAUAAACAACCAGGAGGUUGGCUUAGAAGCAGCCAUGCCUUUAAAGAGUGCGUAAUAGCUCACUGGUCUAUUGUAGUCUUGCGCCGAAAAUAUAACGGGGCUAAGCAUAGCACCGAAGAUGCGAACUUCAUAUUUAUAUGGAGUGGUAGGAGAGCGUUCCAUUCAGCAGUGAAGCCAAACUGGAAAGUUUGGUGGAGCGGAUGGAAGUGAGAAUGUUGGCAUGAGUAACCUGAAGGCCGAUGAAAAAUCGGCCCAUCGUAAACCCAAGGUUUCCUGGGCAACGUUGAUCGUCCCAGGGUUAGUCGGGCCUAAGCCGAGGCCGAAAGGCGUAGGCGAUGGACAGCAGGUUGAUAUUCCUGCACUGUUUAUAGUGUUCCCAUCAGUGACGCAGGAUGGUAGCCGGAGCAUCUUUAUGGCUAUAGAUGUCUAAGUGUCUAGUCCCCUUCGGGGGCCGAAGCAUGAAUGAAAUCUCCGUAAAACGAGAAAUUCCGGUAAGCCAAACUGACUAGAAAAGCUGUUGAUUAAUAGCUAUAAGCAACCGUACCGCAAACCAACACAGGUGGGUGGGUAGAGAAUACCAAGAUGAUCGGGAGAACCCUCGUUAAGGAACUCGGCAAAUCAGCGGGCGUAACUUCGGGAUAAGCCCUGCCUGAGUGUGCCGCUUUGUUCCUGAGAAUGAGGUGAAGAAAAAUAGAAAGAAGAAAUGUUGAGACAUCCUAUUAGUUUAGGAAAAGACAAAAAACUCGGGAGCUAAGCGGCGCAUUCAGGUCGCAGCGAAUGAGUCCAGGCGACUGUUUACCAAAAACACAGGUCUCUGCUAAAUCGCAAGAUGAAGUAUAGGGACUGACGCCUGCCCAGUGCUGGAAGGUUAAGUGGAGGGGUGAGAGCUCUGAAAUGAAGCCCCAGUAAACGGCGGCCGUAACUAUAACGGUCCUAAGGUAGCGAAAUUCCUUGUCGGGUAAGUUCCGACCCGCACGAAUGGCGGAACGGUCUGGACACUGUCUCAACGAGGGACCCGGUGAAAUUGCAAUAGCGGUAAAGAUGCCGUUUACCCGCGACAAGACGGAAAGACCCCGUGGAGCUUUACUACAGCUUGGCAUUGGAUUAGGGUAUUACUUGUGUAGGAUAGGUGGGAGACUUUGAAACCGGAACGCUAGUUUCGGUGGAGUCGUCCUUGAAAUACCACCCUUGUGAUGUUUUGAUUCUAACCUGGACCGAAAAUUGGAAACAAUUUUCUUCCAAGUUCAAGUUGCUAGAAAGUUACUACAAAUGUAAAUUUUUUCCAAGAUAACUUUAGCAACUUUUGAACUACAUAAGAACUAACGAAACUGAAAUUGCUUGCAAUUUCCGGUUCGGGAACAGUGUCUGGUGGGUAGUUUGACUGGGGCGGUCGCCUCCUAAAUAGUAACGGAGGCGUUCAAAGGUAGGCUAGGUCUGGAUGGAAAUCAGACUGAUAGUGCAAACGCAUAAGCCUGCUUGACUGCAAGACCUACAAGUCGCGCAGAGACGAAAGUCGGAGUUAGUGAUCUUUUGUGUGCACGUGGGUGCCACAUUGCUUAACGGAUAAAAGCUACCCCGGGGAUAACAGGCUAAUAGUGUCCAAGAGUCCACAUCGACGACACUGUUUGGCACCUCGAUGUCGGCUCGUCCUAUCCUGGGGCUGAAGCAGGUCCCAAGGGUUUGGCUGUUCGCCAAUUAAAAGGGUACGCGAGCUGGGUUCAGAACGUCGUGAGACAGUUCGGUCCCUAUCUGUCGUGGGCGUUGAAACUUGAGGAGAUCUGUCCCUAGUACGAGAGGACCGGGAUGGACCAACCUAUGGUGUACCAGUUGUUCUGCCAAGAGCAUCGCUGGGUAGCUACGUUGGGAAUGGAUAAGCGCUGAAAGCAUAUAAGCGCGAAACCAACUUCGAGAUUAGGUUUCGUUAUUAGAUCCCUUAUAGACCAUGAGGUUGAUAGGCUCUAGGUGUAAGUGCAGUAAUGCACUCAGCUGAGGAGUACUAAUAGAUCAAUGACUUAAUAAA